CAGCAGCCGCGGUAAUACGAACCGUGCGAACGUUAUUCGGAAUUACUGGGCUUAAAGCGCGUGUAGGCGGGCCGCCACGUCGGUUGCUGAAAUCCCCCGGCUCAACCGGGGAAGUGGCAUCGAUACGAGCGGCCUUGAGGGGGGUAGGGGGAUCUGGAACUUCCGGUGGAGCGGUGAAAUGCGUUGAGAUCGGAAGGAACGCCCGUGGCGAAAGCGAGGUCCUGGACCCUUUCUGACGCUGAGACGCGAAAGCCAGGGGAGCGAACGGGAUUAGAUACCCCCGUAGUCCCUGUCUCUUAUA
rnacentral:rRNA from 1 species